ensembl:lncRNA
AGGAGUGUUAAGUCUUAGAAAGACUUGAGGCUAGUUGGGAAAGCUAAGGACAACAAAAAAGAUUUUCAUUUAGUCAUAUGGGGAAAAGAACAGAAUCAAAUAAGAGCUAGAAUGUCUAUUCGACAUGGAUAGGGUAGUAAUGGCCAAAACAGAGAGCGUCCUUGACCAACUUACUUUCCUUCUGUUUUCUUUGCCAAGGAGAAUGAUCUUUGGAUUAGGGGGGAAAAAUCAUACUUGCUAAGACAGAGUUAUACCCAAGAGAAAUACAGAGCUAAUAAGAGAGUCGCAUGCUGUUUCCAAGGAAAAGAUGGUUAAACGUGACAGUCUUGAAGGUCAGUGAAUUAGAAAUUCACUGAAUUAUCUUGGAGAUAAUUCUGGAAUUGCCUCCCAACUUGCAUCUACACUUACCUCCCUGGCUAAGAGGUCAAAGACGACAACCUAUUAGUCCUUAUCCAGUGGCUUAAACUCUCAGAAUUAGCACUAACUUUGUCUGAACAUUAUAUAAAUCUGCGUCCUGGUCAGAAGUAGGACUGUUAGCACGCAACCCUCGUACCUCCCAAGAGAAUUCCACCGUGCCCAGACCUGCAUCACCCAAGAGAAUGGUCCACAGUUGCAAGAAGAUUAUGCUUACAAUUCUGAUAUGUUGUGAGGUGUAUUUAUGUUCAGGCCAGACUCUGAUAUGUCAUAACUGCAACGACAGUGAGGAUUGUACCCACCAAGAAACCUGUGCAGAAAAUGAAAAUGUCUGUAUCUUGGAGAUAAUAAAAAUGCCAAACCAUACUGAAGUUCUUAAGAAAUGUUUCACAAAUUGUGAAGACUUCUUUGAGGAAGAGACCUUUGAGAAGGAAGACACCAGUACUACAAAUGUACCCAUCAACUCAAGCACAGUCAGAAAGGUACUACAAAUGACUGAUAAAAAAAACUUCCUGUUCAGACAAAAGACCUCCAUGGAACAUUCCAUUCUGUGCUGUGAUAGUGACCUGUGUAACCAGGCCAGAGUCCGGGGCCCAGGAGAUACACAUCUCGUCUUUGGGUUUCUACUCAGCUUUGUGUGGCUUAUCCACUGUUCAGUUCUGUGACACCUCUGCCUACACCCUUCCAAAGACAGUUUUCUAAGGUAAAAAUUUAAAAGCGCAUUCAUGGUCAUUAAAGUAAGAUUAAUUAACGUAAUGUGAAAUGGUCUCUAUUCUAUUUUCCGAAUGAAUUUUCAGGUUCUAGAAGGUUAAUCAGAGGAGUUCCUGCUCAAUUUGCUGAGCUGAGAAGGAGGUGAUCCUCUCUUUGGAAUUCUGUAACUCAUCCAUUGAGGUUGAAUUGGUUGACUCAAUCACUUUGAUCAUUGGCACAGAGACCCUUCUGUCCCCUCACCCCCCAGGAACUGACUAACCAGCCAUACUGCUAUCAGCCCCAGAGGUGAUAAACUGUUAUGUCUGAACUAUGGUAAAGUACUCAGAGUUCCUGGAAACUUAGCUCCUGUUCUGAGUACCUGAGCACAGCCCUAAAAGUCAGUGUCAGGGGCAUGGGGCAGUCAUGCCUUGUGGUUACCUUUCUAAGAAACUCAUGGUUAAUGGUUUUUAUUUUUUAUGCAUAUUAGUCAUUUUGUACAAGAAGACUUAAAUAAAAGAAAAAAAUGAAGGUG